rnacentral:rRNA from 1 species
AGUGAACGCUGGCGGCAGGCCUAACACAUGCAAGUCGAACGGCAGCACAGCAGUAGCAAUACUGUGGGUGGCGAGUGGCGGACGGGUGAGGAAUACAUCGGAAUCUGCCUUAUCGUGGGGGAUAACGUAGGGAAACUUACGCUAAUACCGCAUACGACCUACGGGUGAAAGCGGAGGACCUUCGGGCUUCGCGCGAUAAGAUGAGCCGAUGUCGAAUUAGCUAGUUGGCGGGGUAAAGGCCCACCAAGGCGACGAUCCGUAGCUGGUCUGAGAGGAUGAUCAGCCACACUGGAACUGAGACACGGUCCAGACUCCUACGGGAGGCAGCAGUGGGGAAUAUUGGACAAUGGGCGCAAGCCUGAUUCAGCCAUGCCGCGUGGGUGAAGAAGGCCUUCGGGUUGUAAAGCCCUUUUGUCCGGAAAGAAAAGCAUCGGGUUAAUACCUCGGUGUUCUGACGGUACCGGAAGAAUAAGCACCGGCUAACUUCGUGCCAGCCGCCGCCGUAAUAC